rnacentral:rRNA from 1 species
UACGAAGGGUGCAAGCGUUAAUCGGAAUUACUGGGCGUAAAGGGUGCGUAGGCGGUUGUUUAAGUCUGUCGUGAAAUCCCCGGGCUCAACCUGGGAAUGGCGAUGGAUACUGGGCAGCUAGAGUGUGUCAGAGGAUGGUGGAAUUCCCGGUGUAGCGGUGAAAUGCGUAGAGAUCGGGAGGAACAUCAGUGGCGAAGGCGGCCAUCUGGGACAACACUGACGCUGCAGCACGAAAGCGUGGGGAGCAAACAGG